rnacentral:lncRNA from 1 species
CUCUAGUUAAAGGCAUUGUGUCUCCAGGAGGCCCGGGUUACAGGGCAGCCACCCAUAGGCAACGCCACACAUUUAACCCAUAAUUGCCCAUCAGCCCAGAACCUGGCUGCAGAGAAAAGCUACCAGCUGUUGGUAACCGAACACUGCCUUGCUAAGAGAAGCUUUUUGACAGCCUCUUCACAUAAGUGGGGGAAAUGGGUGCCGCAAAGCUCUGGAUCAGGAGUGUAAUGGCUUCCAUGGGAGCGGCCAAAUUGCUGCAGUGAUGGCAUCUCAGCUUUCUCCUCCCAGGGCAUGGGCCAGUUAGACUUCGGAUACUGAGAGGAAUGUGGAAAUGCAAAUGGCACCAAGGAAGUGCACAUAAGUUCAUGGAUGAUGGAUCCAAUGUGGAAUCAGGGAACGCUUGGGUCACACCCUUAACCAGGCCUUAUCUCUGAGGGAAGAAGACAACUGCCUAUCCAGCUUGAGCUGAUGUCCUCCAACAUCCUGUCACUGAUGGUGGAAACUUUACAUUGUAUUGCUCAGGACCACGUUUGGAUGCAAAUAACAUAAUACCUGAUAGAGAUUUUUUGCUGUGGUCUGAAGAAUUCUUGAAGUAGAUAUUGUCCAGGUAUUCCCUAAUGAGCAUCCUGCUUGCUAAUCAACAUCUCAGAACCUGCAGCCCAAGGAACCUACCUGAGACAGCAGGUGAUAAACCUUAUGUUGAAAAGAAAAUGAAGAUGGGCGAUGUUGUCGGGAGGCAGGUUUCAGCAUUAACUGAGGUGUUCAGAGCAGGCAACAUGGAGAAAGUGGGACUUGAG